rnacentral:tRNA from 1 species
GAGGGUGUAGCUCAGUGGUGGAGCACGUGCUUAGCAUGCAGGAGUUCUUGGGUUCAAUCCCCAGCGCCUCCA